rnacentral:rRNA from 1 species
GAGUCCGUCAAAAGUCUAACAAGUCAAGCCUGAUCCUGUCUGAUCUCGGAAGCUAAGCAGGGUUGGGCCUGGUUAGUACUUGGAUGGGAGACCGCCUAGGAAGACCAAGUGCUGUACGCU